CGCCACCAGUGGGUGGUUGUCUGUUGUCACCAUGGCUUCAAGUUACGGCAACUUCAUUUUUUUUUGACAAAAAAGUUGCAUCUCUUGCCAAGACGCCUGGACACUUCCAUUACUUCCUCUGCGCUUAUGAUCUUUCCUUCAAAAGCCGGAACCUUUUUUUCACAUUCUUCCCGGCAUGAAAGGGCAACGAAUUGAGUUCGUUUGAUGAAAGAAGCUUCCUUGACUCUUCUCCGGG